GGUGCUCGGGCUGCCGCCGCUGCUCCGGCUGGUGCCGCUGGACGAGCUUGCGCCGCCGCUGCCCAGCCCGCCGCGCCGCCCGCGCCGCGGGUCGUGCAGGCGGCUGCCGGGGAGGGGCGGCCGAGAGAACGGAGCACGAGGAGGCGGAGGCGGCGGCGAAGUGAUGCUGGCGCCGGGCAUCCGGGCAGCGGCAGCGGAGCAGCAGCAUCCCCGGGACCCCAGCUGCAGCCUCCCUGUGGCCCGCGGGCCAGCCGAGCGGCGGGAGACCACGCGCCCCACGGACCUGGUAGAGGCACUUCAAGAACUGUUCAGUCCUGGAGCGGAGGGAUUGGGUGAAGAUACCGAUGUUUUACCCUGAGACGAGUAAAGAAGUUUUCAUUAUAAGGGACACCAGAGUGGAAGCAGGGAGAUGGGGACAUGGUAAUCCACAGUGAGAUGUUGGAGACCUAGACCAGGGCAUCUGCAGCAAAGGUGAUGAAAAAUGGUCUACUUCUGGACAUGUGUUGAAGGUACAGUAAACUGAAUUUGCUGUUGAUGACUUUAUAGCAAGAGGCAAGGAGCAACCUCAUCAAGAACAAUGCCAGGAUUCUUGUUCUCGGCAACUGGUGGCAUAAGCUUGCUAUCAACUGGUGAAAAUAGCUGCUGGUUGAGCAGAUAUGGGGGAAGAUUAUGAGU